rnacentral:rRNA from 1 species
AGAUUGAACGCUGGCGGCAGGCCUAACACAUGCAAGUCGAGCGGUAGAGAGGUGCUUGCACCUCUUGAGAGCGGCGGACGGUGAGUAAUGCCUAGGAAUCUGCCUAGUGGUGGGGGAUAACGUUCGGAAACGGACGCUAAGUACCGCAUACGUCCUACGGGAGAAAGCGGGGGACCUUCGGGCCUCGCGCCAUUAGAUGAGCCUAGGUCGGAUUAGCUAGGUUGGUGAGGUAAUGGCUCACCAAGGCGACGAUCCGUAACUGGUCUGGAGAGGAUGAUCAGUCACACGUGGAACUGAGACACGGUCCAGACUCCGUACGGGAGCCAGCGAGUGGGAAUACUGGACAAGUGGGACGAAAGCUGAUCGAGCCA